rnacentral:lncRNA from 1 species
CUUCUCAGAGACGUGAAGGAGCAGGUGUGGAGCCAGUGACAGCUUCUCCCUCUCAGGAGGAAACAGAGUCUCUGGGGCUGGAGAAGCAGGAGGGGGUACGUCAGUUAGCUUUCAUGGCAUAGCAAGCCUUCCCAAAACCCAGGGGCCAAAGGCAGCACAACCGACAGUAAUUUUUUCAUUGUUCUGUGGGUUGCCCGGGGAGUUCUGGUCUCCGUGGGCUCAGCUGGGGCUGGAUCAUUGUGGCAGCCUCGCUCACAUGUCUGGGUGGCCGCUGAGAGGCCCGGGGCUGGGUGCCAGUCUUCUAUCCUCAAGAAGCCCAGCCCAGGCUUCUUCCCUGGGCAGUCAAGGAGGGCUGUAAAGCCAGGCUCUUUUCCAGUCUCUUCUUGCAUCAUUUGCUAGCGUCCCCUUGGCCAGGCCCAGGCUGGGGGGUAGAAGGAAGGAGCCCCUACUCUCCUGACGGGAGAAGCAGAGCACACGGUCAUCUUGCAAGGGGCUUCUUGCAGAACUAUUGCUACAGGGCCAUCAGCAUGUGACACUAGGAGACUGUGCCAUGUCAUCCUUAUGUGGGUCUGGGUCACAGCCGCCCAUCUGCUGUGCUCCCUGGCUGCCUCUUUUGUGAAAAAGAAGGUGAGGAGGACCAGCGAGGAGACACGCCCACUCCAGGGGAACACCUCCUCCCACAGAGCCUUGGGAAGCUGAGAGUAGAUGUGUGCCGAUCACCACCACCUGAGGGUUCCAGGACACAGACAUCGUCAUCCCUGUUCUACAGAGGAGGAAAUGGAGCCUCCUAUGCAAAUUACAUUCUUCAUCACACCAUGGCUCUUGAAGGGCGGAGGUCUCACUGGGCUCCCUGUGUCUCAUGUCCUGCACAAGGCCUGGCUCUGAGGAGGGGCUGCACAACCUUCCUGCACAAGAAUAAAGGCGGGACCGAAGCAGUGACUGUGUGAGAGUCCAUGGAAUGCCCAGGACCAGCACUCAGGGCCUUUGUCUUCUUGUCCAAGCACCAGGGAGCAGAUAGGAGCAGCUUCGGCAAGACCCGGCUCAGUUGAAUGAAGUCGAGUGUCUUAGGUCAUGAACAGUACAGAAAGAGCUGUCCCUCUUCAGAUUCGAGCGCUGCGGGGAGGGAGGGUGUGGUGAGGGUCAUCACCUCCUGCUCCACUCCCCUGGCCAGAGCGGACUGGGCAGGGCAGCCCUGCGGAGGGGCCACUGGACAGCAGAGGUCGAGAGCAGCCUCCCUGGGGUUUGUCUGUUCCACUCUCCGGUUUUGUCAAAGAUCAUUUGAAAACUGGUCACAACAAUAUUUCCUGCUUCUUCUCAGCAGCAGUCAAGCACCCUAUCCAUGAUGUUAUAUAUAAUAAAUGGCUUUUGAUUUACUGGCAGGAAAAACAAUAUCACU